AAUAGAUACCCCGGUAGUCCACCCCGUAAACGUUGGGAACUAGUUGUGGGUCCUUUCCACGGAUUCCGUGACGCAGCUAACGCAUUAAGUUCCCCGCCUGGGGAGUACGGCCGCAAGGCUAAAACUCAAAGGAAUUGACGGGGACCCGCACAAGCGGCGGAGCAUGCGGAUUAAUUCGAUGCAACGCGAAGAACCUUACCAAGGCUUGACAUACACCGGAAACGGCCAGAGAUGGUCGCCCCGCAAGGUCGGUGUACAGGUGGUGCAUGGUUGUCGUCAGCUCGUGUCGUGAGAUGUUGGGUUAAGUCCCGCAACGAGCGCAACCCUCGUUCUAUGUUGCCAGCACGUCAUGGUGGGAACUCAUGGGAUACUGCCGGGGUCAACUCGGAGGAAGGUGGGGAUGACGUCAAAUCAUCAUGCCCCUUAUGUCUUGGGCUUCACGCAUGCUACAAUGGCCGGUACAAAGGGCUGCAAUACCGUGAGGUGGAGCGAAUCCCAAAAAGCCGGUCCCAGUUCGGAUUGAGGUCUGCAACUCGACCUCA
rnacentral:rRNA from 1 species